UGGGUUGGGGUGUGGUGGUCUGGUCUUCAAAGCUGUGGCUGCUUUGAGGCUGCAGGCAGCCAAGGGGUUC
rnacentral:tRNA from 16 species